rnacentral:rRNA from 1 species
GUACACUCCUGCGGGAGGCGGCAGUGGGGAAUUUUGAACAAUGGGCGAAAGCCUGAUCCAGCAAUGCCGCGUGAGUGAAGAAGGCCUUCGGGUUGUAAAGCUCUUUUGUCAGGGAAGAAACGGUGAAAGCUAAUAUCUUUUGCUAAUGACGGUACCUGAAGAAUAAGCACCGGCUAACUACGUGCCAGCAGCCGCGGUAAUACGUAGGGUGCAAGCGUUAAUCGGAAUUACUGGGCGUAAAGCGUGCGCAGGCGGUUUUGUAAGUCUGAUGUGAAAUCCCCGGGCUCAACCUGGGAAUUGCAUUGGAGACUGCAAGGCUAGAAUCUGGCAGAGGGGGGUAGAAUUCCACGUGUAGCAGUGAAAUGCGUAGAUAUGUGGAGGAACACCGAUGGCGAAGGCAGCCCCCUGGGUCAAGAUUGACGCUCAUGCACGAAAGCGUGGGGAGCAAACAGGAUUAGAAACCCUUGUAGUCCCAUGAU